rnacentral:rRNA from 1 species
ACUCCUACGGGAGGCAGCAGUAGGGAAUCUUCCGCAAUGGACGAAAGUCUGACUGAGCAACGCCGCGUGAGUGAUCAAGGUUUUCGGAUUGUAAAGCUGUGUUGUUAGGGAAGAACAAGUACCGUUCGAAUAGGUGGGUACCUUGACGGUAACUAACCAGAAAGCCACGGCUAACUACGUGCCAGCAGCCGCGGUAAU